AUUGAACGCUGGCGGCAGGCCUAACACAUGCAAGUCGAGCGGCAGCACGGGUACUUGUACCUGGUGGCGAGCGGCGGACGGGUGAGUAAUGCCUAGGAAUCUGCCUGGUAGUGGGGGAUAACGCUCGGAAACGGACGCUAAUACCGCAUACGUCCUACGGGGGAAAGCAGGGGACCUUCGGGCCUUGCGCUAUCAGAUGA
rnacentral:rRNA from 1 species